rnacentral:rRNA from 1 species
UACGUAGGGGGGCAAGCGUUGUCCGGAAUCAUUGGGCGUAAAGCGCGUGUAGGCGGCCAGGUAGGUCUGCUGUGAAAACUCGAGGCUUAACCUCGAGCUGUCGGCGGAAACCAUCUGGCUAGAGUCCGGAAGAGGAGAAUGGAAUUCCCGGUGUAGCGGUGAAAUGCGCAGAUAUCGGGAAGAACACCCGUGGCGAAGGCGGUCUCUGGGACGGUACUGACGCUGGAGACGCGAAAGCGUGGGGAGCGAACAGG